rnacentral:rRNA from 1 species
UGUGUCAGCCGCCGCGGUAAUACGGAGGGUGCAAGCGUUGUCCGGAAUCACUGGGUGGAAAGGGUGUGCAGGCGGGGCAGCAAGUCGGAGGUGAAAGUCCAUGGCUUAACCAUGGAAGUGCCUUCGAAACUGUUGCUCUUGAGUCCCGAAGAGGUUGUCGGAAUUCGUGGUGUAGCGGUGAAAUGCGUAGAUAUCACGAGGAACACCAGAGGCGAAAGCGGACAACUGGACGGGUACUGACGCUCAGGCACGAAAGCGUGGGGAGCAAACAGGAUUAGAUACCCGAGUAGUCC